rnacentral:rRNA from 1 species
UACGUAGGUGGCAAGCGUUAUCCGGAUUUACUGGGUGUAAAGGGCGUGUAGGCGGGGAAGCAAGUCAGAUGUGAAAUUCCAGGGCUCAACCCUGGAACUGCAUUUGAAACUGUUUUUCUUGAGUGAUGGAGAGGCAGGCGGAAUUCCGUGUGUAGCGGUGAAAUGCGUAGAUAUACGGAGGAACACCAGUGGCGAAGGCGGCCUGCUGGACAUUAACUGACGCUGAGGCGCGAAAGCGUGGGGAGCAAACA